UCCUCAAUAUUUGCAUAAUUUAAUAUUUUUAAUUUAUUUUUAUUAGCUGUUGUUUUUUAUAGGCCUCACAAAUCUUUUGCUUUAGGCUUCUAUGCUUGAUGGGCCGGCCUUGUCCGAAGGCAAAUGUUGGAAUAUGUAUUUUUUAAGCUCUCAAAUUAUAAUAAUACAAUAUGACAUGGUCUACGGUACGGUUAACUUGAAGUCAAGAAUCCUCUGUUUACCGCAAAAUGAUGUUAACUCAUAAUUAGAGGCAGAAUCAUGCUCAAAUUUGGAUUCGCCUUACAGAGUUACCGCAAAAGUACUAGAGACAUCUUACUAUUCGAAAUCGCAAGUGCAAUUGGCACCCCUCUUGCUUUAGAUGAUGCUACAAUGAAAGUAAAUCCACCACAACAAAAGAUCACUACAAAGCCUGCAAUCAAUGGUGAUAAUUGUGUGAAAAUCAAUGGCGCACAACAGAGCUUGUCUCAACAUCUAGAGGGGUUUAUCGAGCAACUGGGAAGACGAUAAUGGAACCACAAGCGAUAAAGGCUAUCCCGAUCCAACCAGAAGAGUCCCAACCUAUAUAGAAAACGGUAACAGUCAAUGAUUCCAAUGGCCAGGUUUACAUAACCGAUGUAGAUCAGCCUCAGUAACAGAUUGAAGACAUUGUUAUAAAUCUAUGAUCCGAGAAUUUUUUUUUUUUAAUAUAUUUCAUUGGAUGAUUUUUACUUGAAAUAUAUAUCUUAGUUUUUUUUUGAAGAAGCAGAGAGAAUCGAACCUCAGACCUCAAGAGGAGCACACUCUCAGGUCUCAAGCCAAUACCAAUGCACCAACCCAAGUGGGUUAAUAUAUAUCUUAGUUUAUUUUGCUUGCAUAAUCUCUACAAACAAAAUGCAUGUCUUCCCAUAUUCUCUUAUAUUUUACUUCUUUUGUUUCUAAUCAUAUAUAUAGUGUUUUACUUUUGUAUCUUCUUAGUUCUUGUGGAUCAAUAAACUUUUUAUUAAAACGAUAAAUCUGGACACUUGCGAGGCUAUCAUAAGUGUUGAGCCAUGCAUGCAAACUCUCCACUGUGAAAUGACUUUUUGAAAGAGUAUUUUUGAAAAAAUAUUUUAAAUUUAAAUAUUUACAUUUUUUGUAUUAUUCGUACAAAUAACUUUAUCAUGGUUGAACAAUUUACUUUAAAAAAAUCCCACUUCCUAUCAUUAGAGGUUGCAAACUUAAUUAAAAAAAUAUUGAGUUCUAAUGGUUAUGAAGUUUUUUACGUUACCCCUUUGCAAAGUGUGAAGAAGGGACAAACGCAACACAUUGAUCUAUUAAGUAUGCUAAAGGGACAAAUACAAUAUAUCUUCCUAUAAUUAGAAUGAGCUUAAUACACUAUAAAACCAUCAAGUCGUAUUCUAGUUUUACAUGCAAAUAGAAACAAAUAUGGCUAAAACUCUCGUGUUUGUUUAUGCUAUGAUUUUAUUUUUUUCCAUAUUUCUUGUUGCAAAGGAGGUUCAUGCACAAAUUAAAUGUGAAACUGAUGAUGAUUGUCCAGAAGUAAGUGUAUAUGAUCCUCCUCUACUGCCUAACUUGCUUCCUUCAGUUUAUAAGUGUGUUGACAACUUAUGUGUACCGGUUGCUGUGAAGACUGAAGUGAAUUCUGGCGCCUAAAAAAAUUUCAAUGCAAUGUACCUUAUGCUAGAUUGUUCCUUAAGUUACCAUUUAAUCUGUGUUAGCAUCCAAUAAAUGUAUCUUUUUCUUUC